rnacentral:rRNA from 1 species
UACGGAGGGUGCAAGCGUUAUCCGGAAUCACUGGGUUUAAAGGGUGCGUAGGCGGCUAAAUAAGUCAGAGGUGAAAGCUUGCAGCUUAACUGCGAAAUUGCCUUUGAUACUGUAUAGCUUGAAAGGAGCUGAGGUCAGCAGAAUGUGGCAUGUAGCGGUGAAAUGCAUAGAUAUGCCAUAGAAUACCAAUUGCGAAGGCAGCUGGCUGGGCCUACUUUGACGCUGAGGCACGAAAGCGUGUGGAGCGAACAGG